rnacentral:misc_RNA from 1 species
AACGCACAUUGCGCCCGCCAGUAUCCUGGCGGGCAUGCCUGUUCGAGCGUCAUUUCCACCCUCAGGCCCUGCCUGGUGUUGGGGGCCUGCGCACGCAGCCCCUGAAAGACAGCGGCGGUCCCGAUCUCAGGUCCCGAGCGUAGUACUAUACGUCGCUCCGGGCGCCUGGCGGGCUCCGGCCGUAAGCCUCUUUUUUACAAGGUUGACCUCGGAUCAGGUAGGAAUACCCGCUGAACUUAA